GAUAUGACAUGUCUACAUUUAUUAGGCGGUAUAGUAGAUAUUUAAAUGAAAAAGCAGUUUCAUACAGACAAGUUGCAUUUGAUUUCACAAAAGUGAAGAGAGGGGCUGAUGGAGUUAUGAGAACAAUGAACACAGAAAAACUCCUAAAAACUGUACCAAUUAUUCAGAAUCAAAUGGAUGCACUUCUUGAUUUUAAUGUUAAUAGCAAUGAACUUACAAAUGGGGUAAUAAAUGCUGCCUUCAUGCUCCUGUUCAAAGAUGCCAUUAGACUGUUUGCAGCGUACAAUGAAGGAAUUAUUAAUUUGUUGGAAAAAUAUUUUGAUAUGAAAAAGAACCAAUGCAAAGAAGGUCUUGACAUCUAUAAGAAGUUCCUAACUAGGAUGACAAGAAUCUCAGAGUUCCUCAAAGUUGCAGAGCAAGUUGGAAUUGACAGAGGUGAUAUACCAGACCUUUCACAGGUAAGUUUGUUGUUAAAAUAUCAAUCCACUAUCUGUUGUGUACAAGUUGUGAAGAGUAUUAAGAUAAGUAACAUAUAGCCCCCAUUGUCAAAGGGAUCAGUGCAGCUUUUGACCAAUUUUAACAUUUUGAUGUAUUCCUGAAGAUUGCUCUAACAUUAUGACUACAUAAAAUG
rnacentral:sRNA from 1 species